UACGGAGGGAGCUAGCGUUGUUCGGAAUUACUGGGCGUAAAGCGCACGUAGGCGGCUUUUUAAGUCAGGGGUGAAAUCCCGGGGCUCAACCCCGGAACUGCCUUUGAAACUGGAGAGCUAGAAUCUUGGAGAGGCGAGUGGAAUUCCGAGUGUAGAGGUGAAAUUCGUAGAUAUUCGGAGGAACACCAGUGGCGAAGGCGGCUCACUGGCUCGAUACUGACGCUGAGGUGCGAAAGCGUGGGGAGCAAACAGG
rnacentral:rRNA from 1 species